UAUAACAUGAUAACAUAGCCUGUGUUUCUCAGGAGUGGUGAGGUGUUGAUGCAUGUCCAGGAUCCUGAUGGUUUUAUCCAGGUUUUAUUGAUGGUCAUUAGAGAACAUGGUGGGAGUGAAAGAGGGAGGCAGAGAAGAAGAAGUGUGGAGGUGGCAUGUUCUAUCACUCAUGCAUUUCUGUGUCAUCCUGAGUUAUGGAUGAAGGUUGUCGCAUUAAAAAGCAGCACUGUGUCUCAGCACGGCCACCUACACACCUCACAGUACAGAGGCAGAGUGAAACCAGAGGCUGUUUUUAGAACGGCCUUUUAUUGUGACCAGCCUGAGGCACACCUGUGUGCAAUCAUGCUGUUUAAUCAGAACCUUGAUUUGUCACACCUGUCAGCUGGAUGGAUUAUCUUGGUAGACUCACAGAUUCAAGCCUUGUUUGGAUGGAGACGAUCAAGACAGAAACCACAAAAGUGGCAUUGCGUUUUCACUUUUUAUGCCGCGUUUAAACAAGUGUCUUUUGGGGGAAAUCUGCGUGCAUAUGGUGACACAAAAGUCUAUGUAGUAUGCGCAGCAGGUGGCUAGGUGGUACUGUGAAGCACUGCCAAACAACACCACCAAGAGCUCACGCAUACGUUGACACUUCUCUCCUACUUCUCUUCCUUGAGCGAAAUAGAAUAGGAAUAAAAAAUGAUAAAAAGAAAAAAAAUGCCCAAGUCGAAGGCGUCCUGCAGCUCUUUGACCAGGUUGGCCUGUCCUGGCAGCCUGAAUAGGCCCUCCUCCCGAAGGCCCCAUUGCCGGAUGAAAUCCACACACUGCUCGACCAGCAUAGGGGCCAACUUGUUCCCGAACCGGCGUUCAUAUCGCACAGUUUCCUCCAACUUCUGACCAAAGAUCCCUGAAAAACACAAGAAAAAUUGUUUAAAGAUGGUAAAAGAUUGAUAAAUGGCAAUGCUUCAAUAAAUAAGCAUUGUUUUUACCCGA